rnacentral:rRNA from 1 species
GUCGAGCGAGUGUUUAAGAAGAUUUCUUCGGAUUGAAUCUUAAUAUCUUAGCGGCGGACGGGUGAGUAACACGUGAGAAACCUGCCUUUCACAAAGGGAUAGCCUCGGGAAACUGGGAUUAAUACCUUAUGAUACUUUUUCUUCGCAUGAGGAAAAAGUCAAAGCGUAAAGCGGUGAAAGAUGGUCUCGCGUCCCAUUAGUUAGUUGGUGAGGUAACGGCUCACCAAGACAGCGAUGGGUAGCCGGCCUGAGAGGGUGAACGGCCACACUGGAACUGAGACACGGUCCAGACUCCUACGGGAGGCAGCAGUGGGGAAUAUUGCACAAUGGAGGAAACUCUGAUGCAGCGACGCCGCGUGAACGAUGAAGGCUUUCGAGUCGUAAAGUUCUGUCCUAGGGGACGAUAAUGACGGUACCCUAGGAGGAAGCCCCGGCUAACUACGUGCCAGCAGCCGCGGUAAUACGUAGGGGGCAAGCGUUGUCCGGAUUUAUUGGGCGUAAAGGGUACGCAGGCGGCCUUUUAAGUCAGAUGUGAAAGAUCACGGCUCAACCGUGGUAAGCAUUUGAAACUGGAAGGCUUGAGUUAAGGAGAGGAAAGUGGAAUUCCUAGUGUAGCGGUGAAAUGCGUAGAUAUUAGGAGGAAUACCAGUGGCGAAGGCGACUUUCUGGACUUAUACUGACGCUGAGGUACGAAAGCGUGGGGAGCGAACAGGAUUAGAUACCCUGGUAGUCCACGCCGUAAACGAUGAGUGCUAGGUGUCGGGGGUCAAACCUCGGUG